GGAGCUGUGGCUCAGCCAUAGAGCACUCACCUAGCAUGUGUGAGGCCCUGGGUUCAAACCUCAGCACCACUG
rnacentral:tRNA from 1 species